GAUGAACGCUGGCGGCGUGCCUAAUACAUGCAAGUCGAACGGAGACAUUAUAGCAAUAUGAUGUCUUAGUGGCGAACGGGUGAGUAACGCGUUGGUGACCUGCCCCGAAGAGGGGGAUAACAGCUCGAAAGAGCUGCUAAUACCCCAUGUGGUCGUAGAGGUUAGAGGCUUUAUGACUAAAGGGGCAAUCCGCUUCGGGAGGGGCCUGCGUCCCAUCAGCUAGUUGGUAGGGUAACGGCCUACCAAGGCGACGACGGGUAGGGGACCUUAGAGGGUGACCCCCCACACUGGAACUGAAACACGGGCCAGACACCUACGGGUGGCAGCAGUAGGGAAUAUUGCACAAUGGGCGAAAGCCUGAUGCAGCAACGCCGCGUGCGCGAUGAAGGCCUUCGGGUCGUAAAGCGCUUUUUGGGGAGAUGAGGAAGGACAGUAUCCCCAGAAUGAGGUUCGGCUAACUACGUGCCAGCAGCCGCAGUAAAAC
rnacentral:rRNA from 1 species